GUAGGGUGCGAGCGUUGUCCGGAAUUAUUGGGCGUAAAGGGCUCGUAGGCGGUUUGUCGCGUCGGGAGUGAAAACACCGGGCUUAACUCGGUGCUUGCUUUCGAUACGGGCAGACUAGAGGCAUGCAGGGGAGAACGGAAUUCCUGGUGUAGCGGUGAAAUGCGCAGAUAUCAGGAGGAACACCGGUGGCGAAGGCGGUUCUCUGGGCAUGUCCUGACGCUGAGGAGCGAAAGUGUGGGGAGCGAACAGGAUUAGAUACCCUGGUAGUCCACACCGUAAACGUUGGGCGCUAGGUGUGGGAUCCAUUCCACGGGUUCCGUGCCGCAGCUAACGCAUUAAGCGCCCCGCCUGGGGAGUACGGCCGCAAGGCUA
rnacentral:rRNA from 1 species